GGACAUCACCCUGAGGCAGAGAAGAUUCAUGCACAGCUUUAUUCAUUCAGAUCUCCAAGUCUUCCUAAAGGCAGGAUGCCAUCAAAUCAACAAGAGUUACCACCCCGCACAAUUGGAGAGAGAUGACACUGACACCUCACAAAAGGAUUUGCAGAUGUCACUGUGCUGAAAUAGCAUGGGUAUUUAUCCCCAAUUCUGCAUCUGAACACUUUCCUUUCAAGCUGAGCUGGAUGUGAUCUACAGUAAUGGAUGACCUCUGAUUCCAGUUGUAGUGUACUUCCUGACUUCUCAACAUCCCAGAGUUCCAACAGCCAAGAACAGAUUAUGUAUUGCAUUGAACUGCUGCUACGAGGUUAACAAAUUUCACGUCACGUGCCGAUGAUAAUAAACCUGAUUCUGAUUCUGGUGUCUGCAUGCUUUUUAUACAGUACAUUGAAUUGCUGCCACAUGAUUGGCUGAUUAGAUAUUUACAUUCAUGUGCAAGUGUAUCUAAUAAAGUAGUCAGGGAGUGUGUAUCUGUUAGCACUGGUGGGUGUGAUCAAAGCCUGAGAAAAGUUCCGACAGUAGGUAGGUUGUAAAAAAGAAUUUGGACAUUAAUAACUAUUCAUGUAACCCUUCAGAUUUUAUGCUUCAUCAGUAGAUGACACAUAAGUAACUUGCAGACAAAAGAAACAUAAUAGUUAUUGACCUGAACUGGAGAAGUGAUUUAAAAUUUUAUAAUGACAACUGGAAUUUAAAUUCAAGAAAUUAAAUAAAUCUG